AGCUCCAAUAGCGUAUAUUAAUGUUGUUGCAGUUAAAAAGCUCGUAGUUGGAUUCCUGGCACGGGGUAGCCGGUCCGCCUUGCAAAAGGUGCGCACUGAGCGGCCUCGGCCAUCCUUGCGAUGGUCUAUCCUGGCAUUCAGUUGUCGGGGUGGGGAUUCGCGACGUUUACUGUGAAAAAAUCAGAGUGUUCAACGCAGGCUUACGCCUUGAAUACAUUAGCAUGGAAUAAUGAGAUAGGACCUUGGCGGUCUAUUUUGUUGGUUUGCACGCCGAGGUAAUGAUUAAAAGGGACGGUUGGGGUUCUUCGUAUUCAAUUGUCAGAGGUGAAAUUCUUGGAUUUAUGGAAGACGAACUGCUGCGAAAGCGUCGAACAAGGACGUUCUCAUUA
rnacentral:rRNA from 2 species